UAUGUUCUAUGUUUUUACUUUUUUUUUUUUAAUGAAUGAUAAUGAUACUUGCUUGAGAGUUAGGCCAACCAUGAUUUUAGCUCAGUUGAAGGAGAAUAGUGGUAGCACAGCUAUGAAGGUGAUGGAAGGCAGUGUUGCUGCGUUCAUGAUAGUGGAAGUGUGAACAGGAGAGGCUAUGGUGGAGAAACCAUGGAAUGUGGUUAUCUGUAGUUUUGCUACUUCAAAUUUGGUUUUACCGACAGGCCAUUUUUAGAAGUGAAUUCCAAUACCAGAGUAUAUAGAGGACAACGAGUUUGAUUACCGCAUAAUCCAUAACAAAGAUUUCCAAGAUUUAAAAAUGGCUCAAAGCCUAUGAAAUUUUUGUUUAAAUGAACAAUUAUUCCAAUGGAGUAAUGACAUGUUUUCUUGAGCUUUUUUUAUGUAGCAGGUGCCAUACCCUCAAUGAAGACCAUUGUUUUGCACAUUAAAGUUACCAUGAGGAGCCU
rnacentral:lncRNA from 1 species